AUGAAAACAAAAGCUGCACUUUGAAAACUGUAAUACACUUCCUCUUGGCAGUUCGCCAGCUUAACUUCUUCAGCAGAAAAUGGACAGAAAAGAAAUGGCUACUGGCCAUCGAAGCAUAUUGCACAGUCCUGGCAGAGUUCUUCAAUCAGAUCAACAUCCACAAAUUGCCACUGCGCAGUCUCUAUUAAUGUCCUGCUGCUAUGAUCAAUUCAGUUGCCUGUGUCUCCUGGAAAGCUUUGGUGCACUGUCAUGUCAAACACUUUUGUUUUCUUGAGCCUGGGUUUCACUAAGGUUCUACUAAAUCAUAGGCCAGCCUGGAGCUUGCUAAGUAGCUAAGAAUGACUGAAUUUAGGAUCCUUUUACAUAGCAAAUUGGAGGCCAUUUUGAGCAACAUGAGACCCUGUCUCAAAAAAUCAAAAAGAACCUGUCCCACUCCAAAUAAACAGAGAAGAUUA